AAGAAAAAUUAACAAUGACGAUUGCAAUUCGAAUAGAAGAAAACUACAUCAUCUUUUCUUCACUCUCAACCUCGACUGUCAAAGGGGAAAGGAAAAGUUUGAAAAAAAUAAAAAAAAUAUGUUAUUUUUCUUGUUGCCAACUUUAAUUUAUUAUUUAGAGAAUAGUUAUUAAUUUACCAAUAAACCAUUUCGCCUUAGUUUCGUUAUGAGGUAACACACUACAGAGGGUUAGAAUUACAUAUCGCUUAUCAGUUAUAUCUAAUAUAUACAUUAAAAUUUUUCCCCUAGUGUAAUAAUACAUGCCCAGUUCAAACUAGGUGGGGGAAAAAAUUGACUUAUUGAUUUAAGCUAAUUUAUUUUUCCAUAACAUAUAUUGUAUUUUCUUUAUAUAUUCUAUAUAGAAACAGCAGUAUAAGAACUGAGACCGAUAAGCAAUAUUUCUGUUCUCGGUUCGACUUUGUCAGUUACGGUGGAUAUUAAAAUUGUCAGGUUCAUCAUUAACUAAAAGUGAAAGAAUACCAGACAGGAAUAAGCUCCAAGAGGAAGACAUACUCUUCAAAAAAGGCUCAUCCUUGGGAUGGUGAAGACAAUAUCUGGAUACCAUUGAAGAAAGACUGAGUCCUCCAGAUUGGCUCAUUGUAACGUCUUUUCAGUAUAAGGAUGCGUGGAAGAUUGAGUGGCUUAUCUCCAAAGUACUGGCUAUUAUAUAUGCAGUCAAGCACAAUAACCAAUAAUUCUCUUUGUGUCUUCAUGAUUACUUUUCUAUAGCUAUUCAAUCCUCAACUCCAUCUCCAUCGAUGGGACCUACAAAAUUUCUUGUCGGUAGUGUUGUAUCGAUCCUAGGAUUGAUUUUCAAAUUAGUAUUUUUUUAUCAGUCCGAUAUUUGUAAGUUUCAACAGUCCUCAGGACCAAUCUUUAUAUUUUUUUCACUCUUAGCUGAGAUGGAAGAUUAUAAAAACGUAAAAAUAAUCUAUGAUAGGUAGAACGUCUAACAAUAAGUUCUCACCACACACUACCUACUUUAAGCUUCAGGUAGCUUGUCUCUUUGAAAGGGGUAAUGAUACAACUUCAACGACUAAGUUACCAAAUACGUUAUUUCAGCUGUUGUAGGUACCAUAAAAGACAAGUAAGAACGGGUCCUAUGACGGACAAAAGUAGUCAGAACCGGACUGGUCGGACUCCAGUUUCUCUUAGUUUUUUAGGCCAAUCCAACACUACAUCUCGGCUAUGUUCACUGAGCCAGCGAUUGAUGAGCAACUCAGACUCUUUUUUCCCUCAUGUUGUUAUGACAUUAAGAAAAAAUAGAAGAGGAAAAAACGUCAA
rnacentral:lncRNA from 1 species